rnacentral:lncRNA from 1 species
UAAGUAAUAUUUUAAUGUUAAUUAAUUAGAUAAAAUAAUUUUAAUUUAAAAUUAUAACUCUUAUUUUUUUUGUUCCAAUCUAACCAUCCAAACAUUAUUUAUCUUAUUCCUAGGAACAACCCAAUUUUCAUCCAAACGAAAAAUUAGUCUAAUUCAUGCUUAUAUCUGAACUUGUAUCUAUUUAUGAAAUAAGCAGUUCUUAUUUAUACUGAACCAAACACAGCCUUUGUAUAUUGUAAUAUUUUUUUGUUCAGAUACACUACUCAAUUAUUAUUUUUUGAACUAGGCUAUUAUAUUAUUAAUAGCACAAAGUCCUUAGUACUAUUAAGUUUUCGAUCUUUGGAUGAAUGAAUGUGGGGUUAAGAUUACAGUGAUCCUCUAGGAUUGAGUGGGUAGUUGGUUGAAUAGUAUAAUCUAACGGAUGGAAAUGAGUAAAGGGGUAAAUUUAACGGCAAAAAACUUGAUAAUAUUAAGUGCUUGGUGCUAUUGAUAGCAUAGUAGCCGGACUCGUUUUUUUUUUUUUUUUCAAUUCUUACAUUAUAAGUAACAAACUUAUAAUUUUCUAUAAAACUAUUAAAAAA